rnacentral:tRNA from 1 species
UCCUGGUUAGCUCAGUUGGUAGAGCGCUCCGCUGGAAAUGGAGAGGUCCCUGGUUCGAUACCGCGACCAAGAG